UACGUAGGGGCCGAGCGUUGUCCGGAGUUACUGGGCGUAAAGCGCGCGCAGGCGGCCAUCUAAGCCCGGCGUGAAAGCCCCCGGCUCAACCGGGGAGGGUCGUCGGGGACUGGGUGGCUUGAGGACGGCAGGGGCUGGUGGAAUCCCCGGUGUAGUGGUGAAAUGCGUAGAGAUCGGGGGGAACACCCGUGGCGAAGGCGGCCAGCUGGGCCGUUCCUGACGCUGAGGCGCGAAGGCGUGGGGAGCGAACGGG
rnacentral:rRNA from 1 species